GACGAACGCUGGCGGCGUGCUUAACACAUGCAAGUCGAACGGUGAAGCGCCUUCCUUUUUGGUGGGUGUGGAUGAGUGGCGAACGGGUGAGUAACACGUGAGUAACCUGCCCCCUUCUUCUGGAUAACCGCAUGAAAGUGUGGCUAAUACGGGAUAUUCUGAGUCUGUCGCAUGAUGGGUCUGGGAAAGAUAUUGUUUCGGUGGGGGAUGGGCUCGCGGCCUAUCAGCUUGUUGGUGGGGUGAUGGCCUACCAGGGCGGUGACGGGUAGCCGGCCUGAGAGGGUGGACGGUCACACUGGGACUGAGACACGGCCCAGACUCCUACGGGAGGCAGCAGUGGGGAAUAUUGCACAAUGGGCGCAAGCCUGAUGCAGCGACGCCGCGUGAGGGAUGGAGGCCUUCGGGUUGUGAACCUCUUUCGCCAGUGAAGCAGGCCUGCCUCGUUUGUGGGUGGGUUGACGGUAGCUGGAUAAGAAGCGCCGGCUAACUACGUG
rnacentral:rRNA from 1 species